rnacentral:rRNA from 1 species
GACGAACGCUGGCGGCGUGCUUAACACAUGCAAGUCGAACGGAAAGGCCCUGCUUUUGUGGGGUUCUCGAUUGGCGAACGGGUGAGUAACACGUGAGUAACCUGCCCUUGACUUUGGGAUAACUUCAGGAAACUGGGGCUAAUACCGGAUAGGAGCUCCUGCUCCAUGGUGGGCGUUGGAAAGUUUCGGCGGUUGGGGAUGGACUCGCGGCUUAUCAGCUUGUUGGUGGGGUAGUGGCUUACCAAGGCUGUGACGGGUAGCCGGCCUGAGAGGGUGACCGGCCACAUUGGGACUGAGGUACGGCCCAGACUCGUACGGGAGGCAGCAGUGGGGAAUAUUGCACAAUGGGCGGAAGCCUGAUGCAGCAACGCCGCGUGCGGGAAGACGGCCUUCGGGGUGUAAACCGCUUUCGCCUGUGACGAAGCGUGAGUGACGGUAAUGGGUAAAGAAGCACCGGCUAACUACGUG